rnacentral:rRNA from 1 species
CCUACGGGCGGCAGCAGUGGGGAAUAUUGCACAAUGGGGGAAACCCUGAUGCAGCAACGCCGCGUGAGUGAUGACGGCCUUCGGGUUGUAAAGCUCUGUCUUCAGGGACGAAAAUGACGGUACGUGUGGAGGUAGCCACGGCUAACUACGUGCCAGCAGCCCCGGGAAUACGUAGGUGGCGAGCGUUUUCCGGAUUUACUGGGCGUAAAGGGAGCGUAGGCGGGUUUUUAAGUUAGAUGUGAAAUACUCGGGCUCAACCUGAGUGUUGCAUUUGAAACUGGAAGUCUUGAGUGCAGGAGAGGAGAAUGGAAUUCCUAGUGUAGCGGUGAAAUGCGUAGAGAUUAGGAAGAACACCAGUGGCGAAGGCG